rnacentral:rRNA from 1 species
UACGUAGGGGGCAAGCGUUGUCCGGAUUUAUUGGGCGUAAAGAGCUCGUAGGUGGUUCGGUAAGUCGGAUGUGAAAUCUCCAGGCUCAACCUGGAGGGGUCAUUCGAUACUGCCGUGACUAGAGGUCGGUAGGGGAGUGUGGAAUUCCUGGUGGAGCGGUGAAAUGCGCAGAUAUCGGGAGGAACACCGGUGGCGAAGGCGGUUCUCUGGGCCUGUACUGACGCUGAGGAGCGAAAGCGUGGGGAGCGAACAGG